CCCUUAGAUGUUCUGGGCUGCACGCGGGCUACACUGCUGCAAUUAACGGGUUUUCUGUGCCGAAAGGCUUGGGGAAUCCUUUGAAUAUGCGGCGUGAUGGGGAUAGAAUAUUGUAAUUAUUACUCUUCAACGAGGAAUUCCUAGUAAGCGCGGGUCAGCAGCCCGCGCUGAUUACGUCCCUGCCCUUUGUACACACCGCCCGUCGCACCUACCGAUUGAAUGGUCCGGUGAAGGCUUCGGAGGCGGCUUUCUCAAUGUUUAUUCGGCGAGACUGCUGCCAAAGUUGAAUGAACCUUACCAUUUAGAGGAAGGUGAAGUCGUANCA
rnacentral:rRNA from 1 species